AAUGCAAUGGCUGGGUUAUAUGGCAAGUGGAUGUGCAGUUUUAGAGAAAUCAUGAUACUCUUUCCAGAGUGGCUGUGCUAUUACAUUCCCACCAGCAAG
rnacentral:pre_miRNA from 1 species